UACGAAGGGGGCUAGCGUUGCUCGGAAUCACUGGGCGUAAAGCGCACGUAGGCGGCUUUCUAAGUCAGAGGUGAAAUCCUGGAGCUCAACUCCAGAACUGCCUUUGAUACUGGAGAGCUUGAGUCCGGAAGAGGUGAGUGGAACUCCGAGUGUAGAGGUGAAAUUCGUAGAUAUUAGGAAGAACACCAGUGGCGAAGGCGGCUCACUGGUCCGGUACUGACGCUGAGGUGCGAAAGCGUGGGGAGCAAACAGG
rnacentral:rRNA from 1 species